UGACCGUGCGACGCCGCGUGGCGAUGAAGGCCUUCGGGUGUAAAGCCCUGUCAGGGGUGAAGAAUGGCAUGGGUCCGCCCAUGUUUGACGUUAGCCCCAAAGGAAGUCACGGCUAACUCCGUGCCAGCAGCCGCGGUAAGACGGAGGUGGCAAACGUUGCUCGGAAUUACUGGGCUUAAAGGGCGUGUAGGCGGUCGACUAAGUCGGGUGUGAAAUACUCCGGCCCAACCGGGGAAUUGCAUUCGAUACUGGUCGGCUAGAGUGCGAGAGGGGCAAGUGGAACUCCAGGUGUAGCGGUGAAAUGCGUAGAUAUCUGGAGGAACGCCGGUGGCGAAAGCGACUUGCUGGCUCGUAACUGACGCUGAGGCGCGAAAGCCAGGGGAGCAAACGGGAUUAGAUACCCCGGUAGUCCUGGCCCUAAACGAUGAGCACUUGGCUGUGGUCCGUCCACUGGGUCACAGCCGCAGCGAAAGUGGUAAGUGCUCCGCCUGGGGAGUACGGUCGCAAGGCUG
rnacentral:rRNA from 1 species